CUUACAAACCAUGGGGCUUUAGGGACUCCUUUCCUGCCUCCCAUUAUAGCUUAUCCUACAAAUAGGAUAUCAAUGCCAAGAGAAAAGAAUGGAAGAAAUCUACUCCACGCAUGCCCAGGCUCAGCAAAGCUAACAUAAUCCUAACACUUCUGAUGUUGCAAAAUAAAAUUACCAUGCAGCACCUUGGGAAUAUUAGUAAUAUGAAAGAUGUGGAAUGUGGACUUUAUGACGAGUACAUGCGGGAGAGAAGAGGAAGCUGGAUGGCUUGAACAUGAGUGGUUUUGCAAACUUCAUACAAACUGCUACUAAAGGAGACGAUAAACAAUCUCUACCAAAAUUGCAUCAGAAGCAGCAGAAGGAAAGCAUCCACAGGAAGCUUUUGCUUGCAGUAUGAAGUUUUCCAAAUCCCCCUUGGAGGCCCUUCAGCUGGGGGAAGAGGAGUGAGGUACAGUGACUACAUCUAGAAGGGAAGUUUAGCUUCAGACACCACCAUAUAAUUCUUGCAUGACCUCGGACGUGAUGUGUUUAA